UACAGAGGUGGCAAGCGUUGUUCGGAAUUACUGGGCGUAAAGGGCGCGUAGGCGGCCUUGUCAGUCAGACGUGAAAUCCCCAGGCUUAACCUGGGAACUGCGUCUGAUACUGGAUGGCUUGAGUUUGGGAGAGGGAUGCGGAAUUCCAGGUGUAGCGGUGAAAUGCGUAGAUAUCUGGAGGAACACCGGUGGCGAAGGCGGCAUCCUGGACCAACACUGACGCUGAGGAGCGAAAGCCAGGGGAGCAAACGGG
rnacentral:rRNA from 1 species